rnacentral:RNase_P_RNA from 1 species
UCCAAAGACCGAACAAUCGCCCCCGGUGUGCGCAAGCCGCCAGGGGAGGAAAGUCCGGACAGCAGAGCGUAGGGUGUUCACUGAAAAGUGAAGCGCGCCGCUUAAAACGGCGUGACAGUCUAGAGCAACAGUGACGAACCGAGGUCAUGCUCGGGUGAAACGGGCAAUCCUCCCCGCUGCAACUGCCGAACUUCACCAUAUUGGAAACGCUCCCUCACGGUGAUAAUGCUGCAGGCUUAGAGAAAUGAUUGUUGUCCCCCGAGCGUAAGCGAGGGCGGAUACAGAAUCCGGCUUAUAGGUCUUUGGACAUU